rnacentral:rRNA from 1 species
UGGGGAAUUUUGCGCAAUGGGCGAAAGCCUGACGCAGCGACGCCGCGUGAGGGAUGAAGGUCUUCGUGAUUGUAAACCUCUGUCAGGAAGGAUUAAAUGCGUGGGUGCCAACACCACCCAUGUUUGACUUAACUUCCAAAGGAAGCCCCGGCUAACUACGUGCCAGCAGCCGCGGUAAUACGUAGGGGGCAAGCGUUACUCGGAUUUACUGGGCGUAAAGCGAAUUAAGGCGGUCUUGUAAGUCAGAGGUGAAAUCCCUCAGCCUAACUGAGGAAUAGCCUUUGAUACUGCUUGACUAGAGGACAGGAGAGGAAAGUGGAAUUCCCGGUGUAGCGGUGGAAUGCGUAGAUAUCGGGAGGAACACCAGAGGCGAAGGCGGCUUUCUGGACUGGUCCUGACGCUGAUAUUCGAAAGCUAGGGGAGCAAACAGG